rnacentral:rRNA from 1 species
UACGAAGGGGGCUAGCGUUGCUCGGAAUCACUGGGCGUAAAGGGCGCGUAGGCGGCCUUGUAAGUUGGGGGUGAAAGCCCGUGGCUCAACCACGGAAUUGCCUUCGAUACUGCUUGGCUUGAGACCGGAAGAGGUGAGUGGAACUGCGAGUGUAGAGGUGAAAUUCGUAGAUAUUCGCAAGAACACCAGUGGCGAAGGCGGCUCACUGGCCCGAUACUGACGCUGAGGUGCGAAAGCGUGGGGAGCAAACAGG